rnacentral:RNase_P_RNA from 1 species
UGAGUCGGGUAAAUGAUCGCGGCUGGCUGUCCGAAAGGUGCCAGACGAGGAAAGUCCGGGCUUCACAGGGCAGGAUGCCGGAUAACGUCCGGUGGAGGCGACUCCAAGGAUAGUGCAACAGAAAUGAACCGCCUUCCGAUGGGAGGUAAGGGUGGAAGGGCAGUGUAAGAGACUACCGCCCGGCUGGUAACAGUCGGGGCAUAUGUAAACCCCAUUCGAAGCAAGACCGAAGAAAAGCAUAAGGCGGCCCGUCUGCUUUCGGUAGGUCGCUUGAGCCUGACGGCGACGUCAGGUCUGGAUAGAUGAUCAUUCACGACAUAACCCGGCUUAUCGCCCGGCUCAUAUU